UUUGAAAUGAUGACAACCCAUGCACAUGAUUAAGAUGAGUGCUGCUUUGUAUUCGUACUGUCUGAUCAAA